rnacentral:lncRNA from 1 species
GGAGCUUUCAUAUUUACACCAGCUUUCUGAGAACCAAGCACAGCUCAGCCUGAGGCAUGCAGCACCUCAUGCACUCAAGAAAACAAAUUGCUGUCAUGAGAUAAAGAAGUCCAUAACAGACUGCAGUGAAUGCAGAUGCCUGUGUCAGUCAUACAGCCAGGUGUCCAGCAGAACUGAACGCCCGCAGUUCCCAAGCUCAAAAUGAAACCAGAGGCUAAGGCAGGAGCCAUCCACAGAAGCCCUGUGGGAGGGUAUUGAACACUUCAGUAGAAAUGGACAAGACCUCACAUAAAGAAGUUAACUUCCAGAAGACUAUAGCAAUUCAGCGUGUAACUACUUGCUUCAUUUAUUGCCUAUGGCCAGAGAUUAACCGCAAAAUAAGCUAAUAUGACACGAUCCAUGCCAAAGGAAAAACAAUGGGAUGUUUUGCGUAAAACUGUUUUGUGUCAUGGAAACUACCAGAGAGUUGUGCAUUCUUCAGAACGAUGGAGCUGGUGCUGUGACAUGUUUAUGUGAGAAGUCUAAACCCCUGAGAGAAACAGUUGAGAUUAAUUAUAGAAUGUCUCAAAACUGGAUGUCCAGCAGCUCAAAAGAUGUCAAAAUUAAAGGAACUGAUGUGAAAUAGGGAAUGUAAGUUGGAAUUGAAAGAAGAGUCACUGCUUAUAACAGUUGGUGGGAUGACUGCUUUCCAGUUUGACUUGAUUUUACAAGAGAAAAAUGGAGAGUGAAAGAGAAAGAAAAGGAGAGAAGACCAACAAAAGAAAAAAGGUAAGAAAGAAAAGACAAUCAAGGAGGGAUAUGUUUAAAAUUAUUAGUUGAUACUCUUCAGGGGAAGGAAACAGGCAUGGACUUAAACAUUUUAUGGAAGUUUUACUCCUUCCUAUUUAAGCACUGGGGCAGUAGAACAAUGGAAUUCAUUAGAGCAAUAGCUAGAGAAUAAGAGAUUUUCUGGAAGUCUCUCUGAUUUCUGUUCACUUUAUUUUCAAGUAAAUCAUGAGUUAAGGAAAGCACUUCUGGAGAGAGAGAGAAAUUUCUCCCUUUUUUGCCAAAGGGUCACCUUAGGAAUCGCCAUAUGCUUACACAAAUGAAGCCUCAAUCCACAACCACUCUCAGAAAUAAAACCUAUGCGUAUAAAAAGAUGAAGAGGAAC